ACUCAAAGGAAUUGACGGGGGCCCGCACAAGCGGUGGAGCAUGUGGUUUAAUUCGUCACUAACCGAAGAACCUUACCCAGGCUUGACAUCGCGUGAAAGGCCCUGAAAGGGGUCCCUCCCCGCAAGGGGACACAAAGACAGGUGUUGCAUGGCUGUCGUCAGCUCGUGUCGUGAGAUGUUGGGUUAAGUCCCGCAACGAGCGCAACCCUCACCCCAUGUUGCCAGCAGGCCCGAAAGGGUGCUGGGCACUCUUGGGGAACUGCCCGUGCAAGCGGGAGGAAGGUGGGGAUGACGUCAAGUCGGCAUGGCCCUUACGCCUGGGGCUACACACAUGCUACAAUGGACGCAAAGCACAAACGGUUACCGAGACCGCGAGGUGGAGGCAAUCCGAUAAAGGCGUCCUCAGUUGGGAUUGCAGGCUGCAACUCGCCUGCAUGAACGCGGAAUCGCUAGUAACCGCCGGUCAGCUAAACGGCGGUGAAUACGUUCCCGGGCCUUGUACACACCGCCCGU
rnacentral:rRNA from 1 species